rnacentral:lncRNA from 1 species
UGUUUGGGAGGAGGGAGCUAAAUUUUAGCCCUGUCACAUCGGAUGUUCGGAUGUUAAUUAGGAGGACUAAACAUAAGCUAAUUACAAAACUAAUUACAGAACCCCUAUGCUAAAUCGCGAGACGAAUCUAUUAAGCCUAAUUAAUCCAUCAUUAGUGAAUGGUUACUGUAGCAUCACAUUGUCAAAUCAUAGACUAAUUAGGCUUAAUAGAUUCGUCUCGCGAUUUAGCCUAGGGGUUGUGUAAUUAGUUUUGUAAUUAGUCUAGAUUUAAUACUCCUAAUUAGUGUCCAAACAUUCGAUGUGACGGGGGCUAAAAUUUAGCCCCCUCCUCCCAAACACCCCCUUAAAGUCUUGUAGUGCUUAGGAAGACUAACCAGUUGCGUAGAAGAUGAAAACGCACUCCACUAGACACAUGAAUGGUUAAACAAAUGGCAGACAUAUGAACAGGCAGCUAAAGAAAUUUAAGAGGCUUGUGGCAUGCACGGGACGGGCAAAUUGCAGCUUGCUAGUGCUAGUGCUUCAAUGUUGAUACUACGAUCGAGCUGGUUUGUACUCCCUCCAUUUCAAUUUAUAAAUUAUUUGAUAUUUUUUAAAUUCUGUGUACAUGUUUAGAUAUAUAUUAAAAAGUUAUAAAUCUAUUAAUUAAAAAAUGACCUGUAAGACGUAGAGGGCAAUACACUGUUAAUAUAUUAAUAUAGGAGUAGUCGUACUAUUCAACCACGAACACCUAGCUAGGCGUUCUACUUUGAACGAACCCAUAAAACUCGUGACGACCGAAGAAAUUAAACUAACAAAUAAUCAUAAGCGAGUGAUGAAACAGCAAGCAGCUUGUGUUGCUUCUCACCGAAGAUGGUGUUGGUGGGGUUCGAGGCGGCCUGGUUCACGGCCGCGUCGCCGACGAGCUUCUCGGCGCCCUUGAACGCCACACAGGACGGCGUGAGGCGGUUGCCCUGGUCGUUGGCGAUGACCUCGCUGCGGUCGUGCCGCCACACGGCCACGCACGAGUACGUCGUCCCCAGGUCGAUGCCGAUCGCCGGCCCGUCCACUUUGGAGGACCCCAUCGUCUCCACCGUCGAAGGCACGCAGGCGUGGGUGCAUCUGAGAAUAUAUAAAUAGUAUGUACGGACGGAUGCGCCGGCCCUAGGGCACAAGCGUUUCUCUCCACGGUGUUUUCUUCGUGGGCUUGAUUGGUGAGCCGGAUUUUUCUUAGGCCCAUGCAAAAAGAAGAAGAUCGGUCCGGCCCGGUGCAGUACGUUAGAGGUGAACUUUCUAAUUUGACUCAAAAUGUACGGUCGGUCCUUAAAUUCGUCUCGCUGUGUCACUUAGAUCCUCGUGCUUUCCAAUAUUUAUCUGGCUCUCUAAAUUUGGGCUCGAGUGUCAUUUAGGUCAAAUGCAGAUAUAGUCCCCUAAACUUGGUUUCGGGUGUGAGGGCCAUAUACUCUCUAAAAGCAUUAUCAUCUUAAUUAAAUUGAUAAAAACUUUACAUAGAUAUAAGAGUAAAAUGCACCGGAGGUCCAUCAACUUGUAAGGAGGUGUCACUUAGGUCCACAAACUUCGAAAGUGCAUUUUUAGAUCCAUAAAUUUGUUAAGUCGUUCACCGUAGGUCCGUACCCCUUCUAGCGCUGACUAGGCAUCUUCUCUCUCAUCCCUCUCAUCUUCCUAUCUCUCUUCCUCUCUCUCUUCCUCUAGCAUUUCAUGUAACAUGUCGACGGCGGUGGCGGCAUGGAGCUCUUCAUCUGCUUCACCUCCGUCGAUGAAGAGCUCCAUGCCACUGCUGCCGACAUGUUCGAUGAAAUGCUGGAGGGAGAGAGGAGGAUGAGAGGGAUGGGAGAAGAUGCCCAGUCAGUGUGCCAUGUCAACACUAGAUGCUCAUGUGGAGGGGUAUGGAUCUAGGGUGAAUGACUUAACAAGUUUAUGAACCUAAAAAUGCACUUUCAGAGUUCGUGGACCUAAGUGACAGCUUCUUACAAGUUGAUGAUGGACCUCUGGUGCAUUUUACUCUAGAUAUAAUUUAAUUGUAGUCAAAUAAAGUGAAUUUUACCUCAACAUGUAUGGAGAAUAUUGAUGUGGUGAACCCAGAAAGAUUGAUGAUCUUUUACUUUGAAGGGAAUAUCUUAAUUUACUAGGUGCGCAUUACACGCUGUUGACGCCGGAUUUUGACGUGUAUGGAAUCGGCGUCAAGGAGGAAAGGAUUGGCCGAUGCGGCAGGUUAAAAGGUCACGAUUGGGAAUUGGCCGAUUAGUGCUACAGUUGGAGAUCGGCCGAUUAGCGCUACAGUAUUCCGAUGGAUAGAGUUGGUAGAGAUCGGCCGAUUGAAAGGCUGGACCAGUUGGGCCAAUAUGGGCUUAAAGUGGAUCAGAAAGAGAAGACGAAGGGGGAUUGGCCCGCAGGAGUGCAAUAACCAACUCCGAUACGAGUUGUACUUGUAAAUAUUCGUUUUCGUUUAAAAUUAGAGAUAGAUCCUAGUCGGUUAGGAAAGUGGUUGUAACAGGCUAUAAAUAGCCAUCUUUAGAGAUCUGUAAACAACAUAUCAAUCAAUACAACAAUCUACUAUUUCCUUGUACUUUACUUUCAAGUCGGCGACUUCGCCAAUAUUUUUCUUCUUUCACGAGUUCGUACGGGUUGGCAGGGCUGCAUCGAUACGAUCUCCGGCCGAUUCUGUAAGUUCCGUUUAUCGAGUAAUAUCUAAGCUUUAACUUUGGGCGCAUCACUGUCGUUUCGUUUAGAUUUAUUUACCAGGUAUCGAUAUUUACUAGAAUUCUAGGUUUUACCUGUUGUUCUAGUUUUAUCACCAGUUAUCCAGCUUAAGAUUAGAACUGUCGGCUUGAUUAUCGUUAUUUUCAUCCAUUAUCUUCACAUAGCCGAUUAGAUCUAUUUCAAGUGUUGCUCCUGUAGCAUUAUCUAGCUUACUCUAGUAGUUUUCUUUAUAAUCGAUGCGUGGUUGUCGACUGUAUCAUAGCCGAUUAUCUUUUUAUAGCAAAUCGGCCGAUUCGCUGAUACGCUUCCUCGAGAUCGGAAUCUUAGCCGAUCGCAACCCCUAUAAUUUGACACGUUUCUUCCUUGCCAAUCAACAGGUCAGAUUGGCUGGCACGCCGCGCGAACUGCACCAGGGCGAUCACCCGAACAGGAGCUAAGCAGAUUCUCCCGGGUCGUGUGUCCGACGCUGAGAGUCAAUCGGCUGAUUUUUAGCGCCAACACACGCAUACUCUGUUAUUCUUGAAAGAUUGUUCAAGUUUAAAUAACUCGUUGCACUUACUAAACUAAAAUCAGGAGCUUAUAAGAUAAUUGAUUGAUCAAAUAUUGGGAGAAGGGGCAAUAAAACAAGUCUGGAAAUGUGCUAAUGAAAGUAAUGGCUUAUCAUGUUCUAUUAGUAGGAUGACACUGCAUUUCAAGAGUUUAGGAACCUAUAUGACACCUGAAGCCAAAUUUAACGAGUAAGAUAUGCAUUUGAGAGUACGGGGACCUAAAUGACACCCGAGCUCAAAUUUAGGGAGUCAUAUAUGCAUUGUAAGAGUACAGUGACCUAAGUGAUACAGCGAAACAAGUUUAAGGAUCGGUUAUGCACCUUGCUCUUCGUUUUUAUACAUAUAUAAACCUUAAUGGUAUUUUGAAUUUAUAUUUAGUUCUAGAUAUCCACAGUAGUAUUCAUUUGGUUAAUUGUUUGGUGAAGACAAUAUGAUAUCUUAUCGGGUAAACUCCUAAUUGCAUUUUAAUUCUAGGAUCCAAACACGGUAAGUGUUGACUCAUUUUUAGCUAACUAGAUCCAACUAAAAAUUAGCUUUAGACCAUCCAUACAGGAUCUUAGUUUGGUGCCGUGCAAAAUGGUUUGUGCACGAACCAACGAACUACCCGUGUACCUGAGCAGCGCGUGAUGAGUGCGACGGCCGCGUGACGUCGUCGGGACCACGUACGGGCUGCCACUCCACCCGGCAUUGCAACGCGACACCGCUGCCGGAGCAAGCCAGUUCCGGAGAUCCCGGCCCUGCCCGGUGGACAUGCCGGUACGGCACCUCACUCUUCUCCUCGACCUCGUUCCCUCUUGCUCCGAGCCCCCGUACCGUACCGAUCGCACGAACCCGCCGUUCUAGCAGAAAGGCAGCAGUGUCCUGGCGCUCCCAUUCAGUCGUGGCGGGCGGCUACUAGUACUACCACAAAAUGUACCCCGUGCGCCAAAUUUUUUGCAGGAGCAUGGAGCCUGCACCGAGCCGAUGCCCCGCGCCUCUAGCGGGGGAGCAGAGCAGGGGCGGUUCGACACUUGUCGCGCACCGAGAGAUCUGCCGAGCCCUGCAUUCGCUCCCAAGGUUCAGUGCAUCGAGUUCAUUGUACUUGCGAGGUCGCGUGUCAACGUGCGUGUUCGGUGGUCUGAAAGACUUGAAGCACAAGCACUGAACUUACCCUCUCACAAGAGCAGAGUUCCGCGGACCGGAUGCAGAGCACGGUUCAACUGUCCAAGUCAAAUGCAGAGCUCCCGGACACCGCAGGGAGCAAGUAACCUUAGUUUAAGGGAGCGUUUUCUUCCCGUGUCUUAUUUUUAGCACGUGUCACAUCGAAUGUUUAGAUACUAAUUAGGAGUAGUAAACGUAGACUAUUUACAAAACCAAUUACAUAAGUGGAAUCUAAACGGCGAGACGAAUCUAUUAAGUCUAAUUAAGCCUAAUUAAUCCAUCAUUAGCAAAUAUUUACUGUAGCAACACAUUGUCAAAUCAUGGACUAAUUAGGCUUAAUAGAUUCGUCUCGCCGUUUAGAUUCGUCUUAUGUAAUGGGUUUUGUAAAUAGUCUACGUUUAAUACUUCUAAUUAGUAUCUUAACAUUCGAUGUGACGGGUGCUAAAGUUUAGCAAGUGGAAGAAAACAGGCUCUAACUCGCAGGUUACGUGCAUCCGAAACCUGAAUGGACGCAACGCGCUAGCAGCAUGUUUUUACUAAUGUGAGCCGGAAAUCCACACCUAGGUCUGGAUAACGAGCCAACUCGGCUCGGUCCAGCUCGUUAAGGAUGAGUUCGGCUCGUCCACGCCAUGUUUCCCGUCGCCGUCCGGCAGCGCCGAGAGAUCUCGUCGCGUCGUGUCUGCCCGCCGGCCGGACAGUGGUCGGCACACGCAAACCGUUUCCGUCCGUCCACCCAAGAAAACGCAGUACGGCUCCCGCGGCACGCGGGCAGCAGCAGCAGCAUCAGACACCACUCACCUUUUCUUGUAGCGGAGCCUGCCGUAACGCCCAAAUCUUUUUUGACAUCCGGGUAAUCUUGUCCCCCUACGAUCCCAGGAUAAACAUUACAUGCCCCGAUCGAGACUAGUACUCUAUCUACGAGUGACGUGUCCGUCCAGUGUGCACGCAACUGAAGGAGUAAAAAAAAUUAAUUUUACUUUCCUCACCUAUUUACUUUAUCCACUUAAUCUUUUAAAUAAAAUUUAGAUAUCACUUUACUCAUCCCAAACUAUUUCAUUUGGUUCAAUCUAUCUCCUACCGAAGGUAGAUUGGACGAAAUGAUUGGAUCAAAUGAAAUAGUUUAAGGGAGGAGAGUACGCGAGACGAAAAAAUUACGGACACACGGUCGUUGGGCACUGAAAGCCUGCAGGGAAAAUUUACUGCGGUGUGCUACGUAGGGGUAAGGCCUUGUUUACUUCCCAACUUGGGAGUGGCAAAAUUAGUACUUUGCCAUAAAUGCGCAACUGUAGCGUUUCGUUUGUAUUUGUGAAUUAUUGUCCAAAUAUUGACUAAUUAGGCUCAAAAGAUUCAUCUCGCAAAGUACAACAAAACUGUGCAAUUAGUUUUUGAUUUCAUCUACAUUUAGUACUUCAUGCAUGUACCGCAAGUUUGAUGUGAUGGGGAAUCUUCUUUUUGCAUAGUGUCAAAGUUGGGAGUUGGGAAGAAACUAAACAUGGCCUAAAACGGAGCCGGCAGCGGGUGCGCCGAGGCAUGGGGAAGCGUGGUGCACAUGCGUGGACUGCAGAUCGCGAUGCGGACAUGCAUGCAGUGUAUGGGCAAGUGACACUGGAGUGGGUGAGUGCAGAGCCCCACAGGAGCAAGGGAGCAGCAGCAGUUGUUGUUGGCUCUACGCCUGACUUGGUGGCGUGCCGGGGGACCGCCUGGAGGAGAGGUGGCCAUCGGAAUCCCAGCGGUAAAGUCCCGAGAAACAGCCGCGCCCCACAUGCCUCUUGAGUCUUGCCUGCCCUUCUUCGUCACAGUUGUGUCUAGGAAAAACUUAGGGCCUGUUUUCUUCCGCUUGCUAAACUUUAGCACCUGUCACAUCGAAUGUUUAGAUACUAAUUAGGAGAUGUAUGAAUUGUGUACUUUUGUUACGUUGUGCGUCAGAAGUUUCACAUGGGUGGAGUCAAAGGCAUCUGUCUGACCCUUAUCAGUGUUUCAGGCUGUGUCACGAGCAAUCAAUAGUUUNNNNNNNNNNNNNNNNNNNNNNNNNNNNNNNNNNNNNNNNNNNNNNNNNNNNNNNNNNNNNNNNNNNNNNNNNNNNNNNNNNNNNNNNNNNNNNNNNNNNNNNNNNNNNNNNNNNNNNNNNNNNNNNNNNNNNNNNNNNNNNNNNNNNNNNNNNNNNNNNNNNNNNNNNNNNNNNNNNNNNNNNNNNNNNNNNNNNNNNNNNNNNNNNNNNNNNNNNNNNNNNNNNNNNNNNNNNNNNNNNNNNNNNNNNNNNNNNNNNNNNNNNNNNNNNNNNNNNNNNNNNNNNNNNNNNNNNNNNNNNNNNNNNNNNNNNNNNNNNNNNNNNNNNNNNNNNNNNNNNNNNNNNNNNNNNNNNNNNNNNNNNNNNNNNNNNNNNNNNNNNNNNNNNNNNNNNNNNNNNNNNNNNNNNNNNNNNNNNNNNNNNNNNNNNNNNNNNNNNNNNNNNNNNNNNNNNNNNNNNNNNNNNNNNNNNNNNNNNNNNNNNNNNNNNNNNNNNNNNNNNNNNNNNNNNNNNNNNNNNNNNNNNNNNNNNNNNNNNNNNNNNNNNNNNNNNNNNNNNNNNNNNNNNNNNNNNNNNNNNNNNNNNNNNNNNNNNNNNNNNNNNNNNNNNNNNNNNNNNNNNNNNNNNNNNNNNNNNNNNNNNNNNNNNNNNNNNNNNNNNNNNNNNNNNNNNNNNNNNNNNNNNNNNNNNNNNNNNNNNNNNNNNNNNNNNNNNNNNNNNNNNNNNNNNNNNNNNNNNNNNNNNNNNNNNNNNNNNNNNNNNNNNNNNNNNNNNNNNNNNNNNNNNNNNNNNNNNNNNNNNNNNNNNNNNNNNNNNNNNNNNNNNNNNNNNNNNNNNNNNNNNNNNNNNNNNNNNNNNNNNNNNNNNNAACCCAUGCCAGACUGGCAAAUAAUGGGACAGUCGUCGACGUAAAGAGUUUGGUAAUCCAUUGAGUACUCACAGCAUGCAGAUUCAGUCUGACGUAGAAGGAUUCGCACGUGUCACUUCCGAUGAAUUGCAGAUAAGUAGUGUUCUUAUAAGUUAGUGUUCAAAGAGUCCAGUACUCAGGUCGGAUCUACGCGGCGAGACGAAUUUAAUAAGCUUAUUAGUCCAUGAUUUGACAAUGUGUUGCUACAGUAAAUAUUUGCUAAUGAUGGAUUAAUUAGGCUUAAUUAGGCUUAAUAGAUUCGUCUCGCCGUUUAGAUUCCACUUAUGUAAUUGGUUUUGUAAAUAGUCUACGUUUACUACUCCUAAUUAGUAUCUAAACAUUCGAUGUGACACGUGCUAAAAAUAAGACACGGGAAGAAAACGCCCCCUUAAAUUUGUUCUUGGUAUGCCACACUCUUUGGUCUACAAAUGUCGGAUGGAUUCUGAGUACUAGCAGCAGUUCGGUUUUUUUUUUCUUAUCAGCAUUGAAAAAAGAGAUUUCCAAUUUCUUUACUCAAAUUCGUUGGACAAGGAAAGAGUGAUGUGCGUGAUCAUGGAUGUCAGGGAGUAAAGCGGGAGCAACAAUCAUAUGCCACUGGUGAUAAACGAGAACCAUCACCCAGAAAUCUUACCAGCCACCGCACCAUGCAAGCAGGCUCUUGCCGGACCCGCCGCGCGCGUGCGCAAGGGCCACUACCACUGCCCCACGCUCGCUCGGCAAAGCCACCAGCGCCGGUGCCCACUCCACACGACCCCACGGCACGGCACGGCACAUCUCCCCCGGCACCCGCGCACCAGGCCACCAGCCAUGCGCCCAUGCCGUGUCGCGCAACGCCAAAACCACGCGGCCACGCCCACCCCCGCCCGGGGCCCGGGGGUGCCCGCGCGCGCGGGGGUCCGGCACGGCAGCGACCGUGUCGGUCGCGCGUCGAGAGCUCGACCGCUCGAGGCUUGCCCGCGCUGCCGCGCCGCGCGGCGGCAGGCGGACAGCGCGCCCGCGGCCGGGUCCCCCGGGCACCCGACACCCUGUCGGCCCCUUGUUUAUUCCCCCGGCCCCGGAUCUGCCCCCACUGGCCACUGCCGGCUGCCUGCGCCGCCGCCCAGAUCCACCGAUCCGCGCACCCGCAUGUAUAAAUACGAGCGCGCACCGCCGCGCUUCCAUCCCUGCUCUGUUCAUGGUCGAUCGAGAGUCUAGCUAGCGAGGCCUUGGUUCUUGGUAGUGUGUGUUUUCCAGUCUGUCUCAAACUAGCUGCCUGCUGCAUUAUCGUAUCCUCCAAAGGGGUUGCUAGCUGUGAUCACGGCGCGUAUGCGCGCGCGCGGCUAGCGUGGAGCUGAAGGGGAGGUGAAGCGAUGGAGCUGGAGCUCGGGCUCGCGCCGCCGAACCCGCACGGCCUCCUCGGCGGUGGCUGCGGGAAGAGGGUGUUCGGCGGGGCCGAGAAGGCCACGCUCCCGCUCUUCGUGCGCGAUGGGGGCGGCGGCGGCGACGACGGCAACCGCGACGUCCUCGACCAUGAACCGAGCAACAAGUGAGUGGCUGAAUUCAAUCUACGCACACCACUGCAAGCCGCCGCCACCGCCGUGUUGGUUGCUCGAUCGUCCAUGCAUGUCAAGCAAGCACGGUUUCUUUACGCUGAUGGCUGAAACGCAUGCGCGCCGUGUACCUGCAGGAGGAAGAGGCUCGUGGGGUGGCCGCCGGUGAAGUGCGCGCACCGGCGAAGCUGCGGCGGCGGGGCCGGGUACGUGAAGGUGAAGAUGGAAGGGGUGGCCAUCGGGCGGAAGGUGGACGUGUCCCUCCACGCCUCGUACGAGGAGCUGCUCCGCACGCUCGCCCGCAUGUUCCCGUCCGCCGCCAACAAAGGUGCCGAGGAGGAGAGGGAGGUGGCCCAGCACGAGCGCCGCCGUGGCCACCCCUACGCGGUGACCUACGAGGACGGCGAGGGAGACUGGCUGCUCGUCGGAGACGUGCCAUGGGAGUAAGUCGUUGCAUUGCCAGACAAUCGCUUGUCGUCUCCGUACAUAUACAGCAUAUGCAUAAGACCAGUUCACCAGCACUGUUAAACUAACAGCAAUAAUGGUAAUUUUGAUUUGCUGCAGGGCCUUUGCGAAGUCGGUGAAGCGGCUCAAGAUCCUCGCGUAGCUGACGGCACACGUACGCCAGCAGCUACGUGUGCCGUGUGUGUCUCAUAAUAUGGCUUGGCUAGCUCACUCUCAAUAAUGAUAGUAUUGUCCUCUCUGUGCAUCAGACCAGUGCGUGUAUUUUUGCUCGUCUCGGUGGGUUCAGACUUGAGAGCAUGACGAGAGCAUACAGCUUGCUAUAGCUACUAUAGUCUACCACUACGCACUAGCUGUUAGCGAUCUUAUCUCGUCACGCUGCACCGAGUUGUUCGUGUAAUCUCGUGUCAAAGGUUUCGUCUGCGUCCAGUCCAAAAUAGCCAGCCACUCGGUCCUCGUUGUGACGACCGUAUACGUGUACGGUCGUCGUCUGUGGCCGGCCGGGUUAGGGUCGUCUAGUUAAGCCUGUUCACGUACUGCUAGUAGUGUUUGAGGUUUCAAUCCCAUUGGGUCUCCUUGCUGGUUUUCAAAUGCAUGGGUUAAACGUGUCGCAACUAACACUGUGUAAUGUAUUCUUCCCUCUUGCUGAUUGCUGGUAUUCUUCCCUCUUGAGUAUUACCCAAGUAGGAAAGGACCUUCGGUAUCGGUUCCAAACCCCCUUUAGUACCGGUUGUGCAACCGAUAUUGCUACUCCGGUACUAAAUACUAAAGGGGGCCUUUAGUGCUGGAUCAAAUAACUGGUAGGUAUUAAAAAUUAAAAAAAAAAUUCCGCCGCCCUUCAGCCCGGCUCCUGCCACCCUCCCGCUGCUCCUUGCCCAACCCCGCUACCCUCCCGCCGCCGUCAGCCUCGGAGCAAAAAAAACAAAAUACAUGUGCCCCGUCGUCGUACCGUCGCGCCCCGCCGCCUCCGGCUGGCCGUCACUCCCCUGCGCGCUGCUUCACCCACGCGCGUCGCCAAGCACCUCCGCACGCCCCGCACCUCACCCCGCCACCCAAGCACUACCCUGCACCUCGCCCUGCUGCCGCUCCUUACUGCUAGUGAGGGGCGAGCAAAGGGGGAGGGGGCGAGGGCAGCAACGGGAGAGGAGGAGAGAGAGGGACGGGAGGGGGAGGGGGAGCGGAUAAGGAGGCGGGGAGAGAGAGAGAGAGAGAGAGAGAGAGAGAGAGAGAGAGAGAGAGAGGAUAGAGAUAGUAGAUAGGGGGGCGGUGGAGAUCUAAAGGAUAAGGUUGGGAGCUCCAACUGGUACUAAAGGUAACCCAUUAGUAUCAGGUGGAGCCUCCUCACCCGGUACUAAUGUGUGACCUUAGUACCGGUUGGAGCUCCCAAUCGGUACUAAAGGGGUCACGGAGGGCUCCUAGGGAACUAACCGUUAGACCCGGUACUAAUGUGCAUUAGUACCGGGUCAAAAACUAACCGAUACUAGAGGUAGGACCAAUGCUCAGUUUUUAAAUAGUGCCAGGACUUUUAUCCAUGAUGGUACUUUAAUAGGACGGUGCAGCAGGUACUGAGUGAGCUUGUUUGCUUUCUCUGGAUCAUGAAUAGAUCGACGUGAAACUCAACAUUUUCAACUAUUUGAAUUUCUAAACAAAAGUAGUAGUGGCGUAUAAAAAUGAACUAGCAUAUUGACUCAUAGUCACAGACGACUAAACGCUCGUCUAUUUACUAUUGUCAUCAGAAAGAACAUGGCUUGCGGAUGAAGUCAGUUGCUGCUGGAAACGGCAGACACCGACACGCAUAUGAUCGACACAUCUACCGUCAUCAGCGCAGCUUGGCGAUGAAGUCAGUACUAAUUAAUUAACGUCAGCCUGCACAGCUGGGGGCAUCCGUGCGUGGACAGCUCAGGUUGAGGCUGCCUUUGGUUUCCCUUUAUAAUCAGGACUAAAGUUUAGUCCCUUCCUAUUUGGUUCUACUGACUAAACGGUAUUAAAUGAGUUGUACAAUGACCAACUUAUCCCUAAUUAUUGCUGCCUCUACCUUUUUCCUUCUCCCACUCCAUGGCCGAGCCGCCUCCUCCUCCUCCUCGCCAGGAACCUCACGGGCGCCGGUGGCACCAGCCUCCGCGCGGCGUGGUCCCCCUCCUCCUCCCCCACCGCCACCGCGUGCUACGCCUAGGACAGCGUGUCCUACGACACCGACGGUCGUGUCGUGUUCCUACGCCUCCCCGCACGUGGCCUCGCGGGGGCCCUCCCGGCGGGUAGGAGUGGUGGCGGGCGGGUGGCGGGGGUGGCGGGGCCUGGCGGCGGGGUGGGGGCUGGGAAGGGUGGCGGCAGUAGGCGGGUGAUCGGGGCCGGCGGGGGCCAGGGAGGGCGGGGGCAGCGGAGCAGCGGAGUGGGUGGGGUGAGGGGGACAUGGACAGGUCAUAAAUAAGGGCGGGGUGUCCAGGGUACACUUUAGCCCCCAUAAGCAACCUCUUGGUGGCUCAUGGACUAAAGUUUAGUCCCCAUAAUCAAGUCUAUUUAGAGAUUUAGGAAAUAAAAAGGAUUAAACUUUAGUUUCUAAGCAAGGUGAAUCUGAACACAGCCUGAACCUCGCUCGCCCGCCGUUCACACGGGGACGGGAUCGAUCUGUUCGUUGCCGAAAUAUUGCUGCAAGUAUCGACUGUAUGCUCACUGGGAAUGUAGAGUGGUAUGUCAUGGUUCAUUUGAUCAGCGCCUCCUCAUUUUACGGAGAAUGCGAGUCAAUUUGUCCAAAUCGUGAGUAAAAGGAAGACGUUAAGACUUGAAGAGUCAUCGGAGUAAUAGUCCAUGGGAUCCAAAUUCUUGUUAGAGCAAUCUCUGUGGAGGUUUCAUCUUAUCAACCAGUAAAAAUACUUAUUCGCCGCGUGUACAAUGAUAUGCUCCUUAAUAAGUGACAAGUAUGUUCACCGCCCUACCCAUUUUUUUGGGAUUUACCCCACAGUUGCCAAACGAUCUCACUUGCUUUGAUCAUAUUUGGUUGCUUGCAAAAUUUGCCACUUGUGCCAUUGUUUCUUAGGCAUGUACUACAACAGUGGCUCGCCAAACUUUCGAUUUAGUCUCCGCUUUACAUGCAUGUGGUAGAGUCAUUUCUUGCCAAAAUUGUUUGCCGAUUUGUUUGUAUUAUCUUUUGAUUAUUAUGCAUACCAAAGUUUUAGUUACAUAUAUGGCUACCAAGCAAAGAGACACCCUGUCUCCCUCCGUGGCAAGCCAUUUUUGCUAGAGCCGCAAGACAUGGAAGAAUGAAGCGUAGACAGAGGAAGACAGCCAUGCCGGCAAAGCACAAAAGCGUUGAACAACUAAUCAACCCCUGAUCAUGUCGCGACAGAACAGACCCAGUCAUCCAGAGCUGGUCCAGGUCCGCGAGGAGUUGGCGAGUUGCCCCGCCAAGUUGCAGAGCCCGAGGGCAGGUUGAUCAGCUCGACACCACCCAGCCCACCUGCAGGUGUCCAAUCCGCGGAGACGAUGCAGCCGCACGGCACCAGGCAGCGCCGGCGUGCACGACCAGACACCGCUCCUCUCGCCCGCCACAUGCAGCCGCUUCCGCUUGCGUCGCCGCCGUCGCCGCCGACUCCACUCAGGACAGCGAUCCGUGUUCCGACCUGUUUCGGUAAAGGCCGCCGUAUCGCCAUCCUCGCUCAGAACCAGCCAGCGAUUCAGAGAACUAGCGGUUCGAUCUGCCGUGACGCAACGAGACACAACGCAGGGCACUAAAAAGACGAAAACUUCACCGCACAUCGGGGUAGAAACAAGUCAAAACAACUGGCCGGCGUGCGCGGUUUAAUUUAGCAUGCGAUCGUUGGCCGGCGGCCGGACACCUCGACCCAGAGAGAGCCGAGCCACCCACUGCUCCCCAAUCAAGCGCCUCGAGUUUUUUUUAUACCAAACAUAUACCUGUAUUAAAAGUUAAGGAUACCGUACAAAGACUCAUACAGAUACUGGUACAUACGAGAAGCUAUUUCGACCUAUUGACACAGAGGCCCCUAAAGAAAAUAAAAAUUGCAAAUAAGAUCCUGGAACCUCUGCCGCCGGAGAGGGAGGGAGCUGGCGGAAUCGCCGCCGGACACUCCACUUGCCUCCGAUUCGCCCUUUUCUCCCUGUCUCUACUGUAGCAAGGGGAAUGGAGAAGAAGCUGACCCCACCACUUGAGUGGGUCCGCCUGCACUGGGCCAUGCCAUGCCGCCGUCGGUGAGGUUCAGAUAAUCCGGAACCGACACGGCCUAGAAUAUUGCCCGUACCAUGAUCCGAUGCCGAUCCAUGCAGGCAAGUACAUGCACGGAGACUAAACAAAAGCAGUUUAUGUCCUGCUGGGACGCCAGAAAAUCUGACCGCCGUUGGACCUCUACUCUUUGACCUUUGGUGCCCUGGUGUUGGUGGGUAGAAACUGUAGGAAAAGUCAGAGGCCUGCACCCUGUACUGCACGGACCGAGCCGGUCAAACAACUCUGUCCUGGCCGGCGCCCGGGCUCAUCGACGAGUGGUCCGUGUCCGGGAGGAAAUCCAGUGGCGACGCGGCACCCACCCGCUCCGUUCCAAAGCUUCCGAGGAUUUUGUUUUCCGGCCUGGCGUAGGGAGCUGAUGCCUCAUGCGGUGAUGCCGACCCAGCCGGAUCCUCGAGAUCGUAGGCGAGAACGCGGUCGUUUUCCGGGGUCGUUGCCGUCCAUACUCGCUUUGAUUGGUACCGCCACAGCUGUCCAAUCGGAAUGUUCUUCCACACACAGUGCACUCGAUCGAAAGCUGGUAGUAGAGGUGUUUGGAUAUUCUCGCUAAACUUUAGCACCCAUUACAUCGGAUAUUUGAUACUAAUUAUAAUUAUUAAACAUAGUCUAAUUACAAAACUAAUUGCACAGAUGUAGUCUAAUUCGUGAGAUGAAUCUAUUAAACCUAAUUAGCUCAUGAUUUGACAAUGUGGUGCUACAGUAACCAUUUGCUAAUGAUGAAUUAAUUAGCCUUAAUAGAUUUGUCUCGCGAAUUAGAUUCCAUCUGUGCAACUAGUUUUGUAAUUAACUCAUGUUUAGUUCUCCUAAUUAGCAUCCGAACACCUGAUGUGAUCCUGCUAAAGUUUAGCACCUCGUAUCAAACACCCUAGACAGGCAGAUAUUUGCCACGGCCCGUUUGUGCUCAACAUGGUAGUGGUGUAAUCACCAAUCAGCCAUGUUCACUGUUCACCGCCGGUGGUGUGAGAGAAACAUUCUGAAAGGAACGUGCAUGUGUCGUGUGUGUGGAGGUUAAAGCAGCAGCAUCUGCCGUGACUGAAAGGUGCCUCGGCAGUUUUUGUGCCGCCACCGUGGACCAGGCGCCGUACCUGGUGUCCUGGUCUUCGCGCGCCGCGCAGACAGGGAGAGCCCCCACGAAUCUUCCCGUCCAGGCUCCUGGGCGGCGCGCGGCGGCUCUCGAGCGCCGUAAUCAAUUGCCGACACGCGCGUCAUUGGCCAGCGCCGACGAGCGGACGAGGAGACCCCCAUGUACGAUGGCGUGGCGUCGUCGUCGUCCACGGCUCGCGCCAUCCCCACGGCCGAACCCGAACCGAACCGGCCGGCCCACCCCACCCCGUCCCACGUCCCACCGCCACCGCCUAUCGCUUUCCGCGAGACGGGCAGGGCAGGCACGGCAACGGCAGGCCCCCCGUGUCCGCCGCCCGUCCCGUCCACCGCGCCGGCCAGGUCGCCAAUCCCCGCGCGGCACCGCAACGUGCGCCCGUCGACGUCAGCCAGCCCAACGCCGUCGCCCCUGGCUGUGGCUGGUGGGUGUGGCUGCCUCCUCAUCCUUUGCCGCCACCGCCGGCAGGUGACACGAGGAGGGCCACUCCCGGCGUGGGGCCGAGGCGUGAUAAGAGAUGCUAAUUGCUAAAGCUGGUUUGUGCAAAUCAUUGCUGCUUCUUUCAGCCAAACACAUAUGGCCCGGUAUGGCACCGGCAGCAUGCAGAGAUUCACUCGGGAGCGUCGCAAAGGCCUGGUUUGGAACACGUGAAUUUUAUCCCCCCAUUUUAAGAUCAAAUUAUUUGUAAUUUGAAAGUCCUUCGCGAAAUUCGAACGUUCCGAACAGGUCAGAGAUUCGAUCGCAACACCUGCCAAUUUCCAAAUUCAAAUAGCACUUCCACUUCGAAGAGUAAACUAUCCGUAACCUGAAAAAUUCCCGCGAAAUUCCAACGUUCCAAACAGGUCCGAGAUUCAGUCGCGAUUGCAACAACACCUGUCGGUUUCCAAAUUCAAACUCUACUGCCAGUUCAAGAGCAAGGUAUUCAUAAUUUAAUUCAAACUCUACUGCCAGUUCAAGAGCAAGGUAUUCAUAAUUUGAAAAUUCCCACGAAAAUCCAACGUUCAAACAGGCCCGAGGUUCGGAUCACAACAGCUGUUGGUUUCCACUUCCAAAUUCAAAUGGCACCAUGGAAUCAGAAACACGAAACAAGCAAAAGAUUCAUGAAGCUCUUGUCGAUCUUGCUUGCCGGGUAUCUUUUUUUUUUCUUUACACACAUCUUUAUGUGAAGGGGAGAGGAGGUACAUAGCCGUCUUUUGCUUAGCUACAUGCCCGCACACACUGACACGCACCGGCCGGUCUGUCUCCUGCUACUUGCUCGAGCCGUCGCCGUCCGUCGCCGUCGCCUCCGGCCCAAACAGCACCCAGGUCGCGCACGACCCUAGGCUCCUCCUGCCUACUACUUCCCGCCCUGACGGGUGACGGCGACGUCGCGGCUCCAUUAUUGGCCACCUCCGAGCUCAUCCGCAUUCCACCGAACACCUUGCGUUGCGUCCGCCCACGCCCAUCCGUUUUGGCCUGGCGCUACCUCCGGUUGCUUGCUUACUGCUACUACUGACUGGCUAGCUAGCUAGCUACUCCUCUGGUGAGUAGUUGUUGCCUAAGGACUAGAGACUAGUAGAUGGAGGAGGAGGAGGAGGAGGAGAGAAGACAAAAUCAGCGCGCUUUACUCGUCGUCGGAGGUGUCCGGGGUGGGCUCCCGGUUGAGGUCGGGGUUCUUGGCGCGGCGGCGGUGGGAGUGGGUCGACAGCGGCGGUGGCGGAGGAGCGCCGCCGCCGAGGCCGACGCCGCAGUGGAGCGCGUCGACGCGGGCGCCGACCUCGGCGGCCUUCUUCCGGAUGGCGGCGGCGGUGAGCCCCGCGCCACCGCCGCCGCCGUCCUUGUGGCCCUCGGGGCGGUCGGCCACCGCGGCUCCGUCGAGCUGGUCGGGGAAGUUGAGCCGCGCGGAGCGGCCGCGGAGGUAGAACACGGCGGUGUCGUAGGCCCGCGCCGCCGCGACGGCGGUGGAGUAGGACCCGAGCCAGAUCCGCGACCGCUUGUUUGGCUCCCGGAUCUCCGCCACCCACUUGCCCCACUUCCGCAUCCGCACGCCGCGGUACUGCCUCCCUCCAACGCCUCCGCCGCGCGCGUGCCCUCCGACACCCCCGCCCGCUGCACCGGUGCCCGCCGCCACCGUCGCCGCGGCCGGCCCCGCGGCGGGGGCGGCCGGCGCCGGCUGGGGCGGCGGGUAGAAGGCUGUGGCUUCCCUCUCCAUCCCCCGAUUCGGCAGCAGCUCGCUGUCGCAGUGGCCGCCGCCGUGUGGGGCGCUCGCUCGCUCGCUGCUCCUUCUACUGGUCUCUCUCCCCUCUGACCUCCCCCCCCUCCCUCUCUCUUCUCCUGCGCCUAUGAGCGGUGGGGUCUAUAGGGGAUUAGGCCUGCGGCCAGGUGGGGAUUAGCGUGGGGGCGUGUGAGUUGGUGGGAGGGCGAUUAGGGCGUGCCGCCGUGCCGGCCGGGGAUUUUUCGCGGGGGCGAGUCGGUGCGCGCUCCUGUGUGGCGGUGUGGCGAGAGGCGACAGGGACGGCCGGCGCGGGGCUUGUGAGUGUGACCAUGAGCUUAUCGCCAGGGAUGUUUAGCGGGAGUAAACUACUCGAUCGUUAGGUUUGGGUGUGACGGGUGCGGUCAUUAGUGCGCCCGAAAUAAUUGGUGGUCGGCGGCGCGCACUCGAAUGGAAACGGAUGCCCUCUCUGUGUCUAUCUCUAUCUCUAUCGGAGUGAUGAGUUGCGAGACGACGCGUAUGAUUUCUUUCGCCGUGUACUUGUAUGUCCAUUGAUGUAACGUAGAUACCCUCCCUCCCUCUCUUUCUCUGUCAAAGUGAACUGGCCUGGCCUGGCUGCGAGAGGCACGUACGCUCGCUCGCCCAGUUCUGAACGCCGCAAAAAAGGUAGCUACGAGGACGGCGGCGGCGGCGGCGGCGGCGGCUGCAGUCCCAGUCCGUCCAGCGGCGACGGCAACGCGGCGUGCACCGAAUCUGGCAUGGCAUGGCCGGGCCCCCCCCGGCCGCCGCCGCUGGCUGGUGGCGCAACGGGUCCUGGAGACUGGAGUCUCCUCGCUUAAUCGCGUCGCGCCUAAGCGAGCGACGCGAUCAAUCAGUCGUCUAGCCCACACCCCUCGCGCGACCCCCACGACUGCGACCGUCUUAGCGCGAGGCCGAGCCAGGCCGCCGACGAGCCGGUGCGCCGUGCGUCUCCCGUGCCAGCAGCACCACGUGUCGCGCCGCCAGGGGCGACAGGCAACGGAUGGACGGACGGACCGUAUGGACCGGGAGCAGGCGUGCAGGUAGGGGCGAGGCCGAAACGGUGCCGCGGCGACCGACGAGGACGGGACAGCUAGCGCGCGCCGACAUGCGCGGGAGGGCGGCGGCCACGUGGCGGGCGCCGCGGCCGGCGACGCGGACAGCCGAGCGAAGUGGUGGUGUGGAGACUGGAGGGAGAACGGUGGGGGGAGGAGGAGAGAGGCCGGGGGCACGGGGCGUCCCCGUGCGCCCGUGUCGCGUAGCGCGGGCCCCGCCCCCGGACUGACAAGGCGGGUGGGGGCGACCGCGACGCCGUUGUUAUCCGCUUCGGUCCGGGAUGCCGAUGCCACCGCUGCCGCCCCGCGCGCAGGGGCCCGCCUGCCAUGCCCCUGCCGCCGUGGCGCCGGCCCUUGGAUUUCUUCUCUUUCUCCUCGUCAACGCGGCCGGGGCGGCGGGCGGUUUGGGAUUUUGUCUGGCGCGCGGCCUUGAGCGGCCGGAGUUGGCCGGUGGCCGGCGGGCGGCCGGGGUCAUGCUCUGCACUACACCGCUUGGCCAGUGCAGUGCACACUGCACAGGGGGCCUGCUCGGGGAAUGCGGCGAGUAGGACGGGGAGGAUGGAUGCAUCGAGCGACUGGGGUGUCACCGUCAGUGUGUGUGACGCUGGCCAGUGAAGCUGUGAAGGCCAUUCACCGGUUUGGCCGUUUGCUACUGGGGCUUCGUGUCGGUGAACGGGGGCUGUGCUUCCUGACGGUUCCUUCCUCCGCCCAGGUGUUCGGUGGCAGCGUGGACAGCGGAUGACGGAACCACGUUCGUGGCACUGAGGCAGGUCUCUAGUAUAGUAGUACUGGUACGUGAUUUCUUUUCUUUCGACCGGCAUGGUUUUUUUUUUUUACUUUCUGGUGUUUCCCAAGGAGAAAGACGGUGCGAAGUUGUUGCAAACAGAUUACUAGAUUAUGCCAGGAAAAGUUAGGACAGAAAAGUCGUCAUCAGUUAUAUAAGGAGAACAUCACAUGGAUGCCAAGAAAACAGCAAACAAAGUAGAUUCUCUUCAGCUUAAAUUCGUAAGGUCUGUUUGGAUAGACCGUUCUAAAGAUUAGGAGUCCAUUUUUAGGACUUGUGCAUCCAAACAUGGGUUCUAAAAGUGCACUUCUAAUGGCCUGUUUGGAUACACCCUCAUAAAUUUUAGGACACUCAUAAAGUUUAGGAGCUAGAAAUUGAUAGUUCUAAAAUUUAUGAGUGGGCUGUUUGGAUGGAAUCAUAAUCUUUAGGAUGUUAGAGGGGAAAUGACUUUUGUACCCCUAAUUACUCCACCCCUGCUCCGUUUCUAGCGCGGUGGAGAGAGAAGGGGAGGGGCAACAGGGGUAAAGGAUGGGUUGGGGACCACUUUUAGGAGAAAAAUGACUCAUUAUGAUGGUUUGGUCCUCCUAAUGAAAACAACUCCUAAACAUUAUGAAUGCACUUUUAUGACAUACGUUUGGAUGCACAAGUCCUAAAAGUGAACUAAAAGUGAAGUCCUAAAGAUUAUGAGUGUGUAUCCAAACAGGCCCUAAAUAAGAGGGCCAUUUUCAUUAGGAGGGUCAAGGGGUACUAAUGGAUCCUAUUUCUCCUAAAAGUGAUCCCCAAGUCCCUCUUUACCCCUAUUGCCCUCGCAUGCAUUAAUGACGUGAACAAUGCAGGGUAGUUUAGAGGAGUAAUUGAGGGGUAAAAAUGAUAUUUUCCUUCUAAGAUCCUAAAGAUUAAUAGUCCAUCCAAAUAGCCCUGUACUAAAGUUUAGGACUCUCAACUUUAAGACUUGAGAGUCCUAAACUUUAGUACACUACUAAACUUUAGGAGCUUGUAUCCAAACAGGACCUUAAUCACUAAUCACUAAGUACAGCCACAUAAGUGCAUUUGCAGCCAUGCACUUUUUUAUGGUAUGUAUCCAUCAGGUUUUCAAUGAGUUUGUGAAAAGCAAUCAUCCUUUGCAGCAGAUGCCAGACGCCAGUACGCCACCCACCGAACUGAACUUCAUGGGCCCAUGCGUUCUUCAUGAUCGAACAUCCGCUGCCACCCACUGACCCACUCAACUCAAACAGAAAGUCAAACAGCUUAUGGUUGGGGAAGUUCCAGAUCGAGUAUCUUGUAUCUUUCCCGUAUCACGGCCUUGGAUCUCCCAAUCCAGUCAUCCCUGAAUCACGUUGUUGUCCCAAAGUUGCAGCAUGAGUACCAGGGAUGGCUAAUCUUCGUCAGAUUUGGAUGUUGCGUGUCAUGGGGCGUCGGACAAGGGCCGAUGGGUCCAUUAAAAGAGAUAGAACUAGUAAGAUCAGAUCGGAUCGUUAGGGUAAGAUAAGAUUACAUUAUGAUGUUAGGCUCGUUGGUUAGGUUCAGCCGGCUCAGUAUCAACAGAGGCACGGCAGUCAUUUGGGAAUCAAUCAAGAAAAGGGAAAGAAACUCCCCUCUCCAACUCCAACCUUAGUCUCCCUCUGAGCCGACUCAGUCCGGCCGGUGUUUACCCUAACGAUCAUAGGAUCAUAACAUUGCAACCUCUCAAAAGCUCGCUCAAGAAACACACAGGAUGCAGAUAAACAAAUCCUCCCUCUUUAACGGGACUUUGUAGCCUGAAGAAAUGUAUCUCUUGUACAACAUUUUAACAUCACAAGAGUAACUCCAGCAGACCCUCCAAAUAGCCUGCUAUUCUAAGCUUAGAGAGUCUAAGUCAAAAAAAAAAUACACUUCAGCGGACCCUCUACUCUGCUCCCUAUUUAGGGAGGCCUUCAAAUUUUCCCCUCGACCCUCCAUUCAUUAGGGGUCUCUAGGGAACCCUCUAUCCAUACAAACUAUUGCUGGAGUUGGAGACACUUUCAUGGUUUUUAAAAAAAUUGAGAGAACCUCAUUUAAUUUUUGGAAGCUUUGAUUUGUGCUAUCACUGGAGUUGCUCUAAGAGAGUACAGGACAAAAUGUCAAUACGCUGAACCUAUUUUAUAACUGGAGUACCUUUUGGAAACAGGCUCCAGCCCCUUCUUGUAUUGAAAGCCAAAAUAAGAAGAAAAAAAAGUGGAUAUAAGUCUGAAAAUACAGACGACUGGUUUGCAGCCAAUUGCUCUUCAGUACUCUGCAGGGGAAAAAAUUGUUGGGAAAGAAAGGCUUGCAAAGAGAUGGACUGCAGUUUAUGGGUUUUCAGAUCCUUGCCCCCAUUGUUCUUUGGCCUGUUCGCUUCAGCUUAUAAGCCGGCUGAAAAGCUGAAACGACUGAUUUGUUGUGAGAGGAAAACACUGUUUGGUGGCUGAUAAGCCGAAGCGAACUUAAGCUUCAAAAUUCAGUUUUUUGUAAGCAUGGAUCCUGAAGUUAGCACUUAGCAGGCGCAUAAAACAGAGGCAUCAGACUUUCUGUUAAUUACUCGCAUAUAACACAGAGGGAAGCCGCUCUGUCUCAUAUCCACAGUUUCCAUUCUAGCACUGCCCUAAUGAACUAAAAGCAUGGAUUCUCACAAUCACAUGAUCAUUUUCUAUAACGAAACUGGGAAAAUGUGUUCAGCUUUCAAAAUUUUUGGUGGUGAAUGAACUUAUACACAGAGAAAUCAAUAGUUGGAUACUCUCCAACCUCCAUGCUCUUUUGUUCAGAAGGAAAUAAUUGAGCAUGGUUCCUGGCGAUCUCUUUGAAUAGCAUGGGCUUCAAUUGCCAAAAUUAACAAAUAGCAGGAGAUAAUGUUGUUUCUAAAAUAAGUGUUUGGAGAAAAAAAAAAGAGCAGAUACAAUGCUGGCAUGACAAUUAUGAUGGUUAGCAUCUACAAAAUUUGGAGCAUAUGCAACAAUGCUAAUAGAGGUGAGAAGUAACGAGAAGAAAGUCUGGGGAAAGUCCCAAGCCCUUGAAAGUUGAAAGCACUGAAGUGCCAACAGAACAGAAACCACCUGCAAGUAACGAGAAGAAAGUCUGGGGAAAGUCCCAAGCCCUUGAAAGUUGAAAGCACUGAAGUGCCAACAGAACAGAAACCACCUGAACAGGUAAAAGUUUCAAGGAACAAUGGCUGAAUUAUUUGACAAAAUAGUAGAUCCUCGAAAAGAAGAGCUCCACUCUUAAGUAGAAUAGCAGUGAGCGAAGCAAUCAUGCAUCAGUAUGGCAUAUGGGAAGUUAGUUCUUCACAUUUGGAUGCUUUUUCGCCAACACAGUCUGGAUGCAUCUCCUUGGCUAGGAACAAUUCACCAUCCCACCUCAAAUUCAAACAACUAGCUUUAAGUCCAUUGCGUUUAAGAUGUGCAUAGCACGUUUUUCAUUAAGAAGAAAAGUUUGAACAUGUACAACCAUGAUACACGACCACGCAAAAACGGAAAAAAAAACUCGCUCAGGGAUGUAAACCACAAACUGAAAAAGAAACACCACCACCUAAGGUAUUCUAAGGCGCAUCAACAAGUGGAGUCCUUGGACUGGUGGGAAGCAGUGGCCAAGGCAGUUCCAAAGGACCACUGGCGGGCUUUCAACGGUGUUUGCAUCUACAUCAUGUGGAAUCUUUGGAAGGAACGGAAUAGGAGGAUUUUUUAAAACGAGGCUCAGCCACCACUCCAUGUUGCGCAACGCGUCAAGGAGGAUCUAGAACAGAGAAGGGGAGCCUUUGGAGGGCAUAUCUCUUAACUUUUGUGGUGUCUUUUCUCCCUUUGUGUUUGACCUGUCAUUCUAGACAAGGGGUUGAGUAGCACCUGGGCGCUGUUGGGGGUUAGCCCCCGUUGCUUUCUUUGUACAUAAACUCAGAAGAGCUCCUGCCAGUUUGCUUCAAAAAAUAAAAAACUUUCAUUCUGAAACCUGAGUGGAAUGCACAGGAAAACAAAUGGACCUUCCAGCAGCAUGCAAGGUGGAGAAAUUUUAUCUGUUCCAAUGACUGCUUGAAAACUUCACACUAGCUUUCUUCAAUUCUACGGACAUACUUGUAAUGAUGUGUAAUCACUAAAGUGAACAAAUUUAGUCUGCCUCCAUGCUCAAAAAUAAAAACCAAAGAGGUGGACUAAUUCAAUUUAGUUGCCAAAUAUCUGUGCCACAGAGAGCACAUAGUGAGUGAAACAAGCUGGUCCAAUAUUCAUGAUCCAGUUAAUUUUCUAGGGAAUACAAUCUAGUUGCUAGUUCUACAAUAGUUUGCUAACUGAUACAUGAUCAAUUGAUCAUUUCAGAUGUACAGAAAACAAAAGAAAUGUAUCCAUCUAAGUGUUUACUGAUUACCUGUUAACACCCAUGUGUUCCUCAAUCCUCACAAGUAACCAUCCUCUUCCUCGUCAUCACUACUCCAAAACAUGCUAUCUCCCUUCAAUUCAAGUCCAAAUAUACCAUCUGUAAUAUCCUCAUCAGCAAAUGCAGAUAUUGCCGCAGCCCCAUGCAAACUGGUUCUCAUUCCAACAAUAUCAUCAACAACAUCGUCCAAGUCACUGGUAUCCCAAUCCAAUCUGAACUCCUCACCCUGCUCAUCUUCCUGAUCUUCUCCGAACUCUGGAAAUGUACAACUCCUCAGCAUCUCCUCAUCAACCUCACCAUUCUCGACACGGUCCCAUGGCAACCAAAUGUCAGCAACCUUGCCAAGCAUGCGGCACCCGUCCCCUACCACCACAGUCCUCAGGUCGGCGGCGCGUGCGUUCCGCACCGUAUCGGUAAAAUCAGAGUCGUCAGAGACCAGCACCAUCCAGUCGACGCCACAGGCCAGACAGUGCUUCACCUGGCGCUUGAGCGCGUGGUCCGCGGCCUGCGGCUUGUCGGAGACGGUGCGGACUUGGACGCCCGCGCGACGGAGCUCGGAGGCGAGCCCGUAUCCGACCUUGGGGGUGAGGAGCUCCCGUGCGGCGUCCUCGUACUUGGUGUUGCCGGUGAUGAACCUCUCGCGGUACUUCUGCCGCUUUUUGCCCUUGAGGGAGCGGAGGCGGGAGAGCUUCUUGUUGCGCUCCCGCUCGUGGAGCUGGCGGAAAUGGCGGGUUAGGUCCGGGCGGGUGGGGAAACGACGGCCGCAGACGGCGCACGAGUAGGGCACGGAAGGGGCGGCGCUCCCCGCGCGCUCAGCGCGGUCCAGGGCGCGGCGGUCGCGGCGCUCGGCGGCGACCCAGGCGGGAAGGUGGGAGAAGGCGUGGCGAUUGGCGAAGGCAGAGAUGGAGACGACGCGGCCCAGGAGGGAGGCGGCGGCGAUGAGGGAAGUCGCCGCCGGGAACGGCGGCCCGCGCGGGGGCUUGUUGUCGAGGUCCCACAGGACUACAACCGUCGGGGACCGCGCCGUCCACACUCCGUCCUGCCCGCGAACCAUCUCGACGUCCACCGAUGCGGACGGGUUCUCUGCUUCGGCCGCCGCCGCAGCCGAGGGGCGUCGGGUGCGGAGGGGGAGGUGGGGGUGGGAUUGUUGGGUGCGGUGGAUCCGGAAGGGAUGGAAAGGGGCGGGGUUGGGCAGGAGGUGGAGGAAGGGAAGGGCAAGCGGCAUGGCGUCGCCGGCGCCGGCGGGAAGAGGCGCGCUCGGGGAGGCAGUGCUCGGAUUUUGCUGGCGAGUGAACUGAUGGAUAGAAAGACUUAGGGGGCGUUUGGGAGGAGGGGGCUAAAUUUUAGCCCCCGUCACAUCGAAUGUUUGGACACUAAUUAGGAGUAUUAAACCUAGACUAAUUACAAAACUAAUUACACAACCCCUAGGCUAAAUCGCGAGACGAANNNNN